UUCCCCCAGCUGCUGUGUGUGUGUGGAGAGACAGAAGUGCUACGCUGCUGUAGAGGAUGAAAACUGUGGAAAAACGGAGAAACCUGGAGAAAAUACAGCUAAAAACGAACUACACUGAGGCUAACUUCAACACUACAAACGUGGUAGCUAACUGCUGUAAGAAUUUAGUUGUAAGUUCAGUGUUUAGAUGUAGCGCUUGAGACGACUACUAGCAGCGUCGGUAGCUUUGACGUCCGUAGGAUUUCCCGCGACGCGCAGUCUGUGCUGAUUCAAGAGCGAGAAGACCUUGUGGCUUUACUGGGCGCCGCCAUAUUGGGUGUGUGUGUCCAGUCGCUCUGGUGAAAUCGGUCAGGGGUUUUUUUUGUGUGUGUGUGUGUGUGUGUGUGCGCGUGUUUCUUUUUCCAUUGUCUGGAUUGGAUCUGCGGAUGAAAAUUGAUGGCGAGCCGUCCCUCUUGAAUGAUUGUGGGAGCCAUUCCCUCUUCAGGAUCACUGGACCUGUCCCGCUACUACUGCACUUUGCGGUGUGGUAGGCCCCACUACAACACAAAACCCCUUCACUCACCUUCACACUCCUUCCCCCACACACAUACAUACACCAACCCUAUGGAACUCUGACUUACCUUCGACACAUCCAUUUUUUUUGUUUGGACUCACUUAAACAAACUCACCUGUUCACACCUUAGGACUGAGAAUUUGGAGCUGAGUAGUAGGAAUCAUUCCUGCAGUUAAGGGUUACUGUUGUACUGUGUGAAUUCUACUGGAUUGUAUUAUUGAACUGGAUCUGAACAAACUUGAAUGUGGUCUUAUUAACAGAAAUUUAGGUUAAAGGGUGCACCCGGGAAUUUAAUUAUAGAACUACUUCAAAGAGUGAAAUACUCACUUUAAAUUUGGAAAGCAAGCAUUUCAUGCUGAUGUCAUAGCCUGAUUGUGAUAUCAAUAAUCGCCUUAUUCAUUACUUGUUUUAUUAUUGUACUUUUUCAUUUUUGGUACCAACCAAUAUUUUUAUUUUUAUACAUAUCUUCAAAUAUAAGAAGCCGGCAUCAUCUUACAUCUAA